rnacentral:rRNA from 1 species
GACGAACGCUGGCGGCGUGCCUAAUACAUGCAAGUAGAACGCUGAAGAGAGGAGCUUACUCUUCUUGGAUGAGUUGCGAACGGGUGAGUAACGCGUAGGUAACCUGCCUUGUAGCGGGGGAUAACUAUUGGAAACGAUAGCUAAUACCGCAUAACAAUGGAUGACACAUGUCAUUUAUUUGAAAGGGGCAAUUGCUCCACUGCAAGAUGGACCUGCGUUGUAUUAGCUAGUAGGUGAGGUAAUGGCUCACCUAGGCGACGAUACAUAGCCGACCUGAGAGGGUGAUCGGCCACACUGGGACUGAGACACGGCCCAGACUCCUACGGGAGGCAGCAGUAGGGAAUCUUCGGCAAUGGGGGCAACCCUGACCGAGCAACGCCGCGUGAGUGAAGAAGGUUUUCGGAUCGUAAAGCUCUGUUGUAAGUCAAGAACGGGUGUGAGAGUGGAAAGUUCACACUGUGACGGUAGCUUACCAGAAAGGGACGGCUAACUACGUG